GACGAACGCUGGCGGCGUGCUUAACACAUGCAAGUCGAACGGUAAGGCCCUUCGGGGUACACGAGUGGCGAACGGGUGAGUAACACGUGGGUGAUCUGUCCUGCACUUCGGGAUAAGCCUGGGAAACUGGGUCUAAUACCGGAUAGGACUCCUGGCUUCAUGGUUGGGGGUGGAAAGCUUUUGCGGUGUGGGAUGGGCCCGCGGCCUAUCAGCUUGUUGGUGGGGUAAUGGCCUACCAAGGCGACGACGGGUAGCCGGCCUGGGAGGGUGACCGGUCACACUGGGACUGAGAUACGGCCCAGGCUCCUACGGGAGGCAGCAGUGGGGAAUAGUGCACAAUGGGCGCAAGCCUGAUGCAGCGACGCCGCGUGAGGGAUGACGGCCUUCGGGUUGUAAACCUCUUUCAGCUAUGACGAAGCGCAAGUGACGGUAGUAGCAGAAGAAGGACCGGCCAACUACGUGCCAGCCGCCGCCGUAA
rnacentral:rRNA from 1 species